rnacentral:misc_RNA from 2 species
AACGCACAUUGCACUCUCUGGUAUUCCGGAGAGUAUGCUUGUUUGAGUAUCUGUAAACAUCUCAACCCUCAAGGCGCUUGCGUCGGGAGGAUUGGACUUGAGCGAUCCCGACUCUUUCUCACGAAAGAGGAGGGUCGCUUGAAAUGCAGGUGCAGCAGGACAUUCUUCUGAGCUAAAAGCAUAUCUAUUUAGUCCCGUCAAACGGAUUAUUACUUUUGCUUCAGCUAACAUAAAGGUCGAAUGCGCCACAAUCGCUGAUUGCAGGAAAACUCGUUCGCAAGAACUUGUAAACUCGAUCUCAAAUCAAGUAAGACUACCCGCUGAACUUAA